UCUUGGUGUUUUGGAGGUUUUUAUGGUCCCAGGAUGCCCAGUGAGUUCUAGAGAUGGACUUGGGCAGGAGGAACCCCCAAGCCAAUGCGCUCAGCCCUUGUUUCCCCCCAGCACGAUUUGUCCUUCCCAAAGCUUGGGCAGAUGGAGGAGGAGGCUGCGAGGAAGAUGUCGCGAGCCCCCCAGGCAGGCCCCGAGCUGAGGACGGAGAGCACGGAGGACAAAUCCCCCCGGCAGAGCCUGGUGGGAGAGGCCGUUUUGAAGGGCUCCCCGGUGCAGGAAGGCAGCGGGGAGGAAAAGGCCCGGAGAUGCCCCCAGAGGAGGGGCUGCAAAGCCAGCCCAGGGAGCUCUGAGGAGGAAAGACCCGUCCUGUGCCGGGAAGGCAGCCAGAGCUUGAGCCGGAGCUCCGAGCUGGUGGUCCCUGAGCAGCCUCCCAGCAGGGAGAAGCCCUUCAGGUGCUUGGAAUGUGGGAAGAGCUUCAGAAAGAGCACCCACCUCCUCAGCCACCAGCACAUCCACACUGGGGAACGGCCCUACACCUGUAGGGAAUGUGGGAAGAGCUUCAGGAGACACUCCAACCUGAUUCAACACCAGCACAUCCACACUGGGGAACGGCCCUACACGUGUAGGGAAUGUGGGAAGAGCUUUAGGGACAGCUCCGGUUUGAUCCGACACCAGCACAUCCACACUGGGGAACGGCCCUACAUGUGUAGGGAAUGUGGGAAGAGCUUCAGGACCAGCUCCAACCUCUGCAGCCACCAGAUCAGCCACACUGGGGAACGACCCUACAAGUGCUUGGAAUGUGGGAAGAGGUUUCAGCGCAGCUCAACUCUCCUCGUGCAUGAGCGGACACACACAGGGGAGAGGCCCUUCCGCUGCACCGACUGCGGGAAGGGCUUCAACCGGAAUGACAACCUCAUCACCCACCGGCUCAUCCACACCGGGGAGAGGCCCUACAAGUGUGCGGAGUGUGGGAAGAGCUUCAGUGACAGCUCCACACUCCGCAAGCACCAGCGCAUCCACACUGGCAAACGGCCCUACAAGUGCUUGCGAUGUGGGAAGAGGUUUCAGACCAGCUCCAAUCUCCUCAGGCAUGAGCGGACACACACAGGGGAGAGGCCCUUCCGCUGCACCGACUGCGGGAAGAGCUUCAACCUGAACUCCCACCUAGUCACCCACCGGCGCAUCCACAGUGGGGAGAGGCCCUACAAGUGUGGGGAGUGUGGGAAGAGCUUCAGCCAAAGCUCCCACUUGACCAAACACCAACGGACCCACCAGUAAGAGAAGCCCUAGGAAUGCCCCGACUGCGGGAAGAGCUUUGGCCGCUGCUCCCACCCCGAAUGACCCCCCUGAUGGGGAGGCAACCCCUGGAGUUCAGUGACUGUCAGUCCAUCCCUUUCCACCAGAAAGGGCCAGUCCCCUUUGCCAGGGGCAGGUUGUGCCAACAGAACCCUUCUUGGGGGUUGUGUGGAGAUUCCUGCCUUGGCUGGGGACCCCCAAGGUCAGUGCUGGAGGUUGAGAGCAGAGAUCUCCCCACGAGCGUUGGUCUGGGGGAGUUUCAUCCAUGUCUAAUUCAUAAUUCUUACUUUGGUGCCAGCUGGAGUAGAAUUGCUUCAACAAUUGCUUUAGUGUUAGCACUGUCCUAUCUUAUGCUGUACUACUGGUAGUUUUAGUGUUUCUAUUGUGCAGUAAAUAAUUCUGAUGAAGAUCUUUUCUCUGAUCAUUUGUUACCCUAAAUAAUUCAUUUCUAUCAAUAGAUAUGAUUUGCCACCCUUAAAACCUGGGGGACAAAAGUGGUUCAGUCCCACCUCUGUAAUUCCUCUAAACUGAACCUGUUGGCAUAACCCGAGGCUGAGAUUGGAUCCAGCAGCCCCAGCACCCCACAGUCAGUUGGGAGCUCAGGGAGCCACCCCCUUUUUCCAACACCCCUCAGCCCAAAGAGCCCCAUGGUACAGUCAGACUGUGUAGACCACCCCUCUUUUUCUACCCUUCUCCCUGUUCCUCCCACUUUUCCAUGGUCCCUUGUUACAAUUUGCUUAAAUACUGCAGAAAGAACUUGAGAUUCAAAUAUUCCCUUAAGCAAAACUAAAACUCACACAAUUACACAAUUUAUCUGUUGAUACCAAAAACUGAUUUUUAUUAAUGUCUAAGAGAUGCAAAGUAAAAGGAAAAAUAAGGAAAGGUUGGAAACUGCUAAGAUUAUUUCUAGAAGCAGAGAAAAAAUACCACUGAAAAGUACCUUUUCCAGCUGAGCUGGUGAGUGUGGCAGAAGAGAAGCAGUUUCUGCUUUUUUUUCUCUGUCUCUGCAGCUUUUGGAUGUUGUCUCUGUAGCUGCAGGGGGUCUGACAGCUUUAGUUCUCUGCAAUGCACCAUGUGUGGUUUCACUGCUCACGCCCCUGUCCCAGGCUGUGCAGGGUCUCAGCUCAGCCGAAGCUUUGGGCCCUCAGAAAUAUGGUCAGGGUAGAAGGAUAAGGUAGAACUCCCACAUGUGGCACGGUGGUCUCAGCUCUCUCCAGGCCGGCACAGUUCCAGUCUCCGGUGGCAGGCAGGCAGCACACGGUGGCGGAGAAAAGGUGAGGGGAGGUGGGCAGAGAUUCUCAGCUACAGUCACCAGUUCUUCUCCCUUUCCUCUCCCUGAUUUUCCAAAAUUUGUCCUCAACUUUUAUAGUAUUCAAAGGAGGUUGAAUGUGGUUUCUUGACACGUAGCCAGUUCAGAUGUUGGAGGAGAUAUGAUAAUCAUAAACAAUAACAGGAUCUUUUAGCAGGAAAAGUGCUGUGGGAAGUCCUGGUGAGAACUUCUGGCAGAGAGCUGACAGAGAAUGUUUGAUAGGAAGGUUUUGACAGGCAGAAACCAUUUUUGGAAUUUCUAUAUUAUCUGUGUGUUACAGAUGGUUGCCAUGGUGAACGACGUAUCAAUAAGAAUGCAUAAUGGUUGCCUUAUUAACCGAACCUAUCAAUGCAAAUGCACAAUGGUUGCCAUGGUAAUGCACAUAUCAAUGAGUAUGCAUAGUGGUUGCCAAGGUAAGCGAUGUCACAAUGAGAAUGGACAAUGGUUGCAAUGGUAACCAACUUCACAAUUAGAAUGCUUAAUGGUUGCCAUGGUAAUCAGUGUAACAAUGAGAAUGCACAAUGGUUGCCAUGGUGUAAGGGGGUACUUUUGAUUUAGAUGAUCAGCGGAGCACAUAGGGGUGAGAAAGUGAUUAUAUUCGCAUGUGAAACCAGCCAGAAUAUUGUACAAUGUAACUUUAUUGCACAAGUUCACUGUAAGGCUCAUUGUGCCUUUAGCAAAGUUAACUGGAUGUCCCCCAUUAUCAGAGCUGAGUUCCUCCUUGGCUUGGCUCCACUCUGCAAGAGAGAUACAAAUCCCCUUGAAACACAAUGGUACAGGUCGUCCAUAGGGCUGAGGAAGGUGAUGGAGAGGAAGAUGAUGUGGGCAGGGGUCGUUGGCCCCUUGCCCUACAGUGGGGCACGCCCAGACUGUUGCCAUGAGGUGAUGAACGGGCGCUGUUUGGCUGCCACUCAAGCACCACCUUCUGCUGCGUCCUGGCCCUACGUAGUGUAAUGUAGAGCUGAUGGAAUGGGGUGUCAGCACUGCUGGGUGGAGCGAUGCUCAUCCUUCCAUCCACACUGUGCUGCUCCGCGGGGACACCCACCAAGCACGGGCACCGACCAGCCCUGCAGAGCCUGGUAGGCCUGGCCUGUCUGUGCAGGUGAGCACAGUUUAUUGAUAGGAAGCAACCAAGGAAAGCAAACAUUUUAUAUCCUUUUUUUUUUGUAUCCCUUUAAUUCUCUUUUUACUAGCUAAUGCUGGAAUAGAGGUUGUUCGUAGUAUUGUAUGAAUGCCAACUGAUAAAGUAGUGUUUUUG